AGAUUGUCGGUUCGCAGGUUGCCGAUGAAACAGAAACGUUCAAUCACUAAAUUUUUCGUCAAAAAUGUCACAUUAAUAACACUUUCCCGAAAAAAGCUGGCACGAUGGAAGAUACAGACGGGAUGUCGAGUAAUUCAGCCUCAGAAGAGGAGAACGUGAAGGGCGGUGCUCCAGCAAGUAAAGAAGAUUCGGGCAAACAACGAUCUCACAGUAGCAGUCGACACAAGAAGCACAAGCAUAAGAGUAAGAAAAGCCACCACAAGCAUAAGCAUCACAAGGAAAACAAAGAUGGCCACCGUCGACAUAAGCACAAGCACAAGAAACAUAAGAGCAAGAAGGAUGAGGAACCUCCUGUUGCCACACCUGCAGCUGACGAAUCGGAGUCAGACAUCGAAUUAGAAGAUACCAUUCCUUUGCCUAAGUUUGAGCCAAAGAUUCCUCCUCCUCCUCCGCCGCCAAACAGUCGUCGAGAGAGCGGCAGGAAGGAGAGGGGGCGUGGUGGUGACGAUACCCUCGCUGCUCUUGAGAAACAGAAGGAGCUUCUACAAGCCCAGCUGCUGGCUACAGCUGAAGAUGAACACUCAGGAAUGAAUUUAAUUGCUCAGGGUUACCAGUCUGAUGAAGAAGAAGGCGAGGACGACGAAUCCGCUCUGAAGCAGUCCCUCUCCAAGUGGAUCCGGCCAGAGAGUUCUAGUUCCAAGCCUUCCUCAAAAUCAGAGUUAAAAGACAGUGAGAGAUCAGAGAAGAGGAAGCGGGAGAGGGAAGACGAGACCUCUCAGAAGAAACAACAUCGCAGUAAGUCGCCUGCCACUGAGCGGUCCUCCGGCAGCAGCAGGGUUGAUAAUGGCGAUGCCAAAUCCUCGCAAAGCAGGACUAAUAGAGACAGUCAUAUAGCUAGUGACAGGAAACAUUCCAAGGACAGUGAUAGUAGAAGAGACUCCAGGAAAUCUUCACCAAGUGCCACUAAAUCCGAGCAGCGGGAGUCUAGAGACAGUAGGGAACCAAGGGACAGUAGGAAAUCAUCAGGGCGUGACGGCAGGGCAUCACCAAAGAGAGAGCUUAAAUCAGGAGAGAAAUCCAGAAGAGAGAGUAGCAGGGAUUCCAAACCCAUUAGGAGCAGGUCUCCUAAAAAAGAGAGGGUAUUCACUGAACCUGCAAGGAGUAGGCCAAGCCCGCCCCGUCGAUCCCCACCCCCUCGUCGUCCCCCUUCCCCGCCAGCCCGCCGUCCAGACCAACCCCUGGGUAGAAGAGGGCGGAGUCCCAUUGAGAGGCGAGGCAGAAGCCCCUUGGAGAGGCGAAUCAGAAGCAGCAGGUCACCGGCGGUCGUCGACAGGUUCGAUAGAAGGAGGGGGGCAUCCCCACCCAGGAGGUUUGGGGACAUGUCACGUAACCGAAGGAGAUGGAGCAGGAGCCCUGAUAGACGAGGGAGACGAGGGAGGUGGGGAAGGAGCAGGAGCAAGUCACCCAGAGAUAAAUUCAAAGGCAGUCUGUCAGAGGGCUUGUCAUUGAAGCAGGAGUCGUCGGAUGACGAGAUCCCUGAUGUCGACCUGGAUGAAGAAGAAGAUGAAGAAGCAGUGAUUGAGAGGAGAAGAAGAGAGAGGCAGCAACUCAUGCAGAAAUACAAAGUUGCUCCAGCGGAGAGCGCGACGUCUAGCCCCGCCCAGGGUCCUUCUGAGCCAUCCUCCACCCCGCAGUCCCCGCAGGCCAGCGAGCAAGGGGGUAGCACCGCCCAGAGUCAGGAUACAGACGAUGAGGAUGAUGAUGAGGAGGAAGAGGAGGAGGAUGAGGAGGAGGAUGACAGUGAAAAGAGUAGUUCAUCUGAUUCGGACGACGACAGCAGCGAGGUGGAGAGCAAGGCUAGUAGUGAUGAUGAUGAUGACGAUGAGGAGGAUGAUGAGGGAGAUGCAGCAAGGAUUGAGGAAGAGGAGAGGCUCAGGGAGGAGGAGGAGGAGGCGGAGCAAGAGAAGAGGAGGGAGAUGGAGAGGAAGAGAUUAAAGGAGGCGUUUCCCCAGAGUGAUAGCGAAGACGAGGAAUCGGCUGCUAACAGCAAGAAGGGAGAAGGAAGUUUGGACAAGAACCUGAGUGACAUUGUCAAACCCAAAUCAGACAAAGAGCAAGCAAUGGCCAAUAAUGGACUGGACAUGUUUAGUGAGGUGGAUAUGUUCAAGAUGAGCCCAUCCACCCGUGAGGGUAUAGGUCAGAUGGGUCCAGAGAACCCAAGUCUCACCGAUAACUGGGAUGAUGAAGAAGGAUACUACAGGGUGCGUAUUGGAGAGAGCCUGGACAAGCGCUAUGCAGUGUACGGCUACACUGGCCAGGGUGUGUUCAGUAACGUGGUGAGAGCCAGAGACACUGCCAGGGGAAAGCUAGACGUUGCCAUCAAGAUCAUUCGUAAUAACGACCUUAUGCAAAAGACUGGGAUGAAAGAACUGGAAUACCUCAAGCGUCUCAACGACCAGGAUAGAGAGGACAAGUUCCACUGUGUUCGUCUCUUUAGAUCCUUCAGUUACAGACAGCAUCUCUGUCUCGUCUUUGAACCACUCAGUAUGAACCUUCGAGAAGUGUUGAAGCGUUAUGGCAAGGAUGUAGGGUUACACAUCAAGGCAGUGAGAUCAUACACCCAGCAGCUCUUCCUAGCCCUCAAAUUACUCAAGAGAUGCAACAUCCUGCAUGCUGAUAUCAAACCGGACAAUAUCCUGGUGAACGAAUCCAAAUCAGUCCUGAAACUGUGUGAUUUUGGCUCAGCCUCACAUGUAGCCGAUAAUGACAUCACCCCAUAUCUUGUCAGUAGAUUCUACCGUGCUCCUGAAAUAAUCAUCGGCAUGAACUACGACGCGGCCAUUGACAUGUGGAGCACGGGCUGCACCAUCUUUGAGCUGGCCGCCGGUAAGAUCAUGUUCCCAGGCAAGACCAACAACCACAUGCUGAAACUCUUCAUGGACCUCAAGGGCAAGAUGCCCCACAAGAUCAUCCGCAAGGGCAUCCUCAGGGACAAGCACUUUGACCCCAACUGCAAUUUCAAGUACGUCGAAGUGGACAAGGUCACCGAAAGGGAGAAAGUCACUGUGAUGACUGUUAUCAACCCGACCAAAGACUUGACCACUGAGCUCCUGGGCUACCAGCGGCUACCCGAGGACCAACAGCGCAAGGUACUACAGCUGAAGGAUGUCCUUGACCGAUGUCUCAUGCUGGAUCCCUCCAAGAGGAUCUCCAUCAACGAAGUGCUACGCCAUUCUUUCAUCCAGGAGAAGAUAUGAGAGGGAGGGGGCGACCCCCUUCCAGGCAGCCCCCACUCGGUGUCGCUAUUUUUUUUUCUUCAACCCAGUGCCUACCAGGGGGGUGUUUCACAAAGCCUUUCUUCAAUGACAAAUGACAAAAAUCAGCGACAAAUCUGCUGAUAACUAAUCAGAAGCAAGGAUUUCACUAGCUUAUAACAAAAACUCUCAUUUGUCACUGCUGACAAGUUUUGUGAAACACCCCCUAGAACUGGAUGGUUAUAGAACUUACGGGGAUUGGAGAAUUCUGUAGUCAUCCGGUUAACUCCAGCUGAUAUAUCACAACCUCUGUGCAUUGUAGUUCGCGUUGACUGUGCAGAAUGCUCCUGCUUCAACUCAGGUUUCGUAAUAGAGCUAUGUUCCAUGUUAUAGCUUAUUUUUACAUUCAUGAAUCAUUUUAAAAGACCAUCUGAAUUCUAGAAGACAUUUGCUUUGUAUUUUUGUGAAAUGUGUAAAGAUAUUACUUCAUAUAUAUAUAUCGAUGCGUUGAUCCUGAAAUCGGGACCUGUUGAACAUUAUCAUGAACUUGUUACCACAUGUUUUCUAAGUGAUCUUUACCCUUUAUUCAGAGGUUUUGUUUAUAAUGCAUGGUUUAUAGUUUUGUAUUCAAUUGUGAUUCCUGUUUAUCAUGUCAUUUCAAUAACCAAAUCUUAAUGUGGUAGGAGAGGCAGCUUUUCUAAAGGAGAAAGGUAAGAGGUGAAAUGUUCACAAAGGUAAUUUUUUAGGAGGUUUUAGGAAUCCAUCUUACUCCAGCAACUUGCUUGAUAAGAGACUUGAUCUAGUUCCCAGUGAAGUAUGAUCAGCUCUCUGAGAAGUUCUUUUAGGCUUCAUCGUUCAUUUUUUAAAUUUCUUUAAAAAAAAAAAGUCUUAUUUCAUAAGAAUAACUAGGUAUUAUUACCAAUCUGAAAAUGACCACCUUAAACCUGAAGUGAUUCCUUUUUUUUUAUUCCUCAAGUUCCUGUUUCUAAAAAUGUUGCCUUGAAUACAAUGGGCACCCCAAUAAACAUUUACAGACGAGAUAAUCUUAAAGUUUUGUUUUUUUCCUCAAGAAUGUGCCGUAUUGUAGAAAAAGAUUCAGCUAAUUUUUCUCUUGUGUUCUUCUUCCAGAACUGAUCUUGCUGCAGAGAGCACACCAGGUUGUACCGUCACAGAACUUUAAACAUCAUGUCGCUGGUUCGACUGUCGAGUUCUCGGCUCAAGCAGAGUUUGUUUAUAAAGUGCAUUGUGGCAGAUCUCUGCAGGGUAAUGUACAUGUGUGAAUGGAGCGUGACGUUGAAACAUUCAAAUUAAAUGAAAUGUACUAUAAUAUGCAUGUAACUAGCAUUGGAAGGGGGAAUCCCCUCUGUUUAAUUUACACUGGCAGGCAUUGCACGAAGAGCUGUGUUUUCAUUUUAUGACUUAAAUCUUAUUGCAUUUAUUUAAAGCCCCACUGUACUACUUGUAGCUACUUGCUCCCUCUAU